UGGGGAAUCUUCCGCAAUGGACGAAAGUCUGACGGAGCAACGCCGCGUGAGUGAAGAAGGCCUUCGGGUUGUAAAGCUCUGUUAUUAGGGACGAACGUACGACGUGUAAAUAAUGCGUUGUAGUGACGGUACCUAAGGAGGAAGCCACGGCUAACUACGUGCCAGCAGCCGCGGUAAUACGUAGGUGGCAAGCGUUGUCCGGAAUUAUUGGGCGUAAAGCGCGCGCAGGUGGGAUCAUAAGUCUUAUGUAAAAGUGCGGGGCUCAACCCCGUAAAGCGUGAGAAACUGUGAUGCUUGAGUGCCGGAGAGGAAAGCGGAAUUCCCAGUGUAGCGGUGAAAUGCGUAGAUAUUGGGAGGAACACCAGUGGCGAAGGCGGCUUUCUGGACGGUGUCUGACACUGAGGCGCGAAAGCCAGGGGAGCGAACG
rnacentral:rRNA from 1 species